UUCCGAGCUUGCAAAGAUUUCCGGCUUUGAAAAGAUGUUGACACUUUGAGGACCGAAUGACAUUCAAGCAAAGGCGGGAACAAUACACAGCUAGCCAAUCAUGUUUCACAUGAUGUUCAGAAUCACGUGCAAGUGCUUCUAUCGAUUGCUUACGCGUUCCAGAAACCAGGAAGUGACUUGAUUUACAGGCGCACAUGAGUAGGUUGAACAAAUUCAAAUGAAUCGUCUCGUUUAGUCGUAGCUACUUGUCUUCCUACAAACAGCUAUUCAAAAUGAACAUAUCAGAAAAUGGAGCAGUAGGCGAUGCCAUUACAGUGCACAAUAUCUCAGAGAAGAUUCGGGAGCAAACGGUUCACUUUCACGUCAUGAAACUCAAUGUUUUUUUUCUCUCCUUUGGUUCGGCUCGAACCCCGUCUUGUCCAACUUGGCUGUUUCAAUGGAAAGUACAUUUCUGAGUAGCCUACUGUACAACAAAUACACUGUUACAAAGCAGACUAGCAAACAGAGAUUGGAAGCUAGCUAGCUUCACUGUGUAAUGUUUCUAGCUCGCUACGUUAAAGGUAUUAUAUCAGGUGUGUGUGUAUUCAGGAUUCGAUGCCGCUGUCUAAGUUAGUCCUGGAGGACCCAUCUGAAACCACCCAGAAUUCACUGGCGCAGAAAUUGACUAAGAGGACUAAGAAACGGGUGUUUGAGCUACAAUCUGCCCAUGACCGACUCCAACCUGUCUCUGCUGGUGGAGAAUAGGAUAAAGAAGGAGAUGGAAGUUCACAUGGAUACAUUUUAAUCUUUCCCCCAUUUUUAUAUUUACCUUUUACCAAAAUAAUAGAAUGGAGAGAACAACAUUA